rnacentral:siRNA from 1 species
UAAUAGAGCUGUAUAUUCCAAUA